rnacentral:rRNA from 1 species
UUGAUCCUGGCUCAGAAUCAACGCUGGCGGCGUGCCUAACACAUGCAAGUCGAACGCGAAAGUCCCGCAAGGGAUCAGUAGAGUGGCAAACGGGUGAGUUACACGUGGGUGACCUGCCUUCGAGUGGGGGAUAACGUCCCGAAAGGGACUCUAAUACCGCAUGACAUCCUGCCUUUGAACAGGUGGAGAUCAAAGCUGGUGAUCGCAAGACCUAGCGCUUGAAGAGGGGCCCGCGUCUGAUUAGCUAGUUGGUGAGGUAACGGCUCGCCAAGGCAACGAUCAGUAUCCGGCCUGAGAGGUCGGACGGACACACUGGGACUGAGACACGGCCCAGACUCCUACGGGAGGCUGCAGUGGGGAAUUGUUCGCAAUGGGCGCAAGCCUGACGACGCAACGCCGUGUGGAGGAUGAAGACCUUCGGGUCGUAAACUCCUUUCGAUCGAGACGAAUGGCUUCCGGGCGAAUAUCCCGGGAGAUUGACGGUACCGAGAGAAGAAGCUCCGGCUAACUCCGUGCCAGCAGCCGCGGUAAUAAGGU